CGGGGUGUAGCGCAGUUGGCUAGCGCGCCACGUUCGGGACGUGGAGGCCGAUGGUUCGAGUCCAUUCACCCCGA
rnacentral:tRNA from 1 species